UACGUAGGGGGCAAGCGUUGUCCGGAAUCAUUGGGCGUAAAGCGCGUGUAGGCGGUUCAGUAAGUCUGCUGUGAAAGUCCAGGGCUCAACCCUGGGAUGCCGGUGAUACUGCUGGACUAGAGUGCGGAAGAGGCGAGUGGAAUUCCCGGUGUAGCGGUGAAAUGCGCAGAUAUCGGGAGGAACACCAAUUGCGAAGGCAGCUCGCUGGGACGUUACUGACGCUGAGACGCGAAAGCGUGGGGAGCAAACAGG
rnacentral:rRNA from 1 species